CCUACGGGAGGCGGCAGUGGGGAAUUUUGGACAAUGGGGGCAACCCUGAUCCAGCAAUGCCGCGUGAGUGAAGAAGGCCCUCGGGUUGUAAAGCUCUUUUGUCAGGGAAGAAACGGUCUACUCUAAUACAGUGGGCUAAUGACGGUACCUGAAGAAUAAGCACCGGCUAACUACGUGCCAGCAGCCGCGGUAAUACGUAGGGUGCAAGCGUUAAUCGGAAUUACUGGGCGUAAAGCGUGCGCAGGCGGUUUUAUAAGACAGAGGUGAAAUCCCCGGGCUCAACCUGGGAACUGCCUUUGUGACUGUAAGGCUAGAGUGUGUCAGAGGGGGGUAGAAUUCCACGUGUAGCAGUGAAAUGCGUAGAUAUGUGGAGGAAUACCGAUGGCGAAGGCAGCCCCCUGGGAUAACACUGACGCUCAUGCACGAAAGCGUGGGGAGCAAACAGGAUUAGAUACCCUGGUAGUCCACGCCCUAAACGAUGUCUACUAGUUGUCGGGACUUAAUUGUCUUGGUAACGCAGCUAACGCGUGAAGUAGACCGCCUGGGGAGUACGGUCGCAAGAUUAAAACUUAAAUGAAUUGACGG
rnacentral:rRNA from 1 species